AUCUCAUGUCACAUCGUGCAGAAGUGUUUUGUUUUCGAUGAGUUCAUCAUUGGGUGCUGUCAGAACCCGUCUGUAUCACACUCAGAGUCGUGGUAAUUCAUGCAGGUCACAUACCGUUCUAGUCGCGGAUCAUCGAGUCGAAGUAGGCGCCUCCCCUCCUUCUGUUCCACGCCCAGAUAAGGGAGGUGAAGAGCAGUAGGCGGUGGCCAGCCGGGCGGUAGCGGAGGCAGAUCCGGAUCCGCUUACAGUCCAGAACCGAUUGUGGUCCGUCGUAAACACUAACCAACCAACCUCGGUAGGAUCGGCAGCUGGCGUGUGGUGAUCUUCACCGUGCGACGUGGAGCGGACAGAAACACCGCAACAACAACAACGAAACGACGCACUCGAGAACUACACAGCUCCACAAACGAAACGACGAAACCUUGCUCUCAACACACACAGCACCGAAACUCAGACCGAACUGUCCGACACGGAGGCCUCGCAGGUUCCGUAGGGGUUCCCCACCGCCGCUCGUCGCCCUCGGCCCCUCGGUCGGGGCGUCGUGCGAGUGUCGUCGGUGGAGCCGACCACACUCACACAGAUAACGGGUCGACCGAGAGAGAGAGCGCGAGAGAGUUUGGGGGAUUCGGACUCGGAUCGCAGGGCCGAAGUUAGGGAACAUCGGAGUCGGUCGGUUUUUUGGAGCUGUGUGUUGGGGGAUCCAAGUAGCCCACGUGGUGGUAGUUGUUCUGGCAUUGCUCACAUACGCACAGUUUACUCUGAGUCUGAUAGUGGGGUUGCGUGGUGGUGAAACGUAAAAGCUCUUCAAUUUCGUACACGCUGAGAAUUAUGACUACUUUUCCGGGCAGCGUUGCCAAGUUACCGACAUAUUUGUUGUAUUGUGUCUAAUCUAACCGAAACCAAUCAAAAAUAUUAAACGCAAAAUCGGCACUUUGAAGUUCAAUUGCAGUAUCUAAAAAGCUGUUACAUCUGAAAUCAAGUCAUUUUAAAUUUAGAAUUUUGAUUUAAAAAAAAAAACGUUUUUUAGAAAAGAUAUAUUUUGCAUGCAAGCUUCUAAAUUAACUGUUCUUAGUAAAAUUUAAUGAUUACAAAAUUGUUUCGCAGCUAUAGAAAAAUAUAUCCUGCAAAGUGUCUGACGUUAUUAAUUUACAUAAAAAUCCUGUCAUACAAUAAAAACCGUUUAUUGUCUUUCAUAUAAUUUUUAAGUUAUGUUUAUUUGUUUUCAAGUAAGUUUUGCGCUUUUUUUCACUUAUUGUUUAACUUAAAAUUAACAAAAUGUUUUUUCAACGCUUCGAUUACUGUGAUUUGUAAUAAUUCGACAGUAGCAUAAGCUGUAUCUUCUAUUUCUGAUGUUAACAAUUGAAAUGCUUUGAUUUAUUAAAAUUUAACAGCUCGAUAUUUUUGAAGUUGACGUCAGUAAACGCGUCGGUUUGUUCAAGGUAUGAAUUUAACCAUUCUAGGGGAGCAAUGAGGAUUCUAAAGAAAUUCAAUGGCUUUAAAAGAACUUGCAAAACAUAAACCAUAAAUCAUUAUUUGACAAUUCUAUGCAACAUUCAGUUCAGUGAAGUUUGACAUUUCGAUGCCUCUGUGCUCUCUUAUGCUAACAAGAAAACCAGUAAGCUUAGUUCAAGAGUGCUCGAUUUACUGAAACAAUACAAAAUGAUUUAUUCAAUAAAAAUUUCUCUGCCAUUUGUAGGUUUUUGGACACAAGCAAUAAUUUGACAGUUCGGUUUUCAAUUCAUUUUUGGGAUUACUAUUUAUAAAAACCGCUGUGAAUUGUUGCAACCUUCAAGCUUAUAAAAAAACUUAAUUUUUAAGUAAUA